GAUGAACGCUGGCGGCGUGCUUAACACAUGCAGGUCGAACGGUGAAGCAGGAGCUUGCUCUUGUGGAUCAGUGGCGAACGGGUGAGUAACACGUGAGCAACCUGCCCCUGACUCUGGGAUAAGCGCUGGAAACGGCGUCUAAUACUGGAUAUGUGAUGUGACCGCAUGGUCUGCAUCUGGAAAGAAUUUCGGUUGGGGAUGGGCUCGCGGCCUAUCAGCUUGUUGGUGAGGUAAUGGCUCACCAAGGCGUCGACGGGUAGCCGGCCUGAGAGGGUGACCGGCCACACUGUGACUGUGACACGGCACAGGCUCCUGCUGGAGGCAACAGUGGGUAAUUUUGCACGAUGGGCGGGAGCCUGAUGCAGCAACGCCGCGUGAGGGAUGACGGCCUUCGGGUUGUAAUCCUCUUUUAGCAGGGAAGAAGCGAAAGUGACGGUACCUGCAGAAAAAGCACCGGCUAACUACGUGCCAGCCGCCGCAGUAA
rnacentral:rRNA from 1 species